UGGAAGUAAAAAGUCGUAACAAGGUUUCCGUAGGUGAACCUGCGGAAGGAUCAUUACCGAGUUUUCGAGCUCCGGCUCGACUCUCCCACCCUUUGUGAACGUACCUCUGUUGCUUUGGCGGCUCCGGCCGCCAAAGGACCUUCAAACUCCAGUCAGUAAACGCAGACGUCUGAUAAACAAGUUAAUAAACUAAAACUUUCAACAACGGAUCUCUUGGUUCUGGCAUCGAUGAAGAACGCAGCGAAAUGCGAUAAGUAAUGUGAAUUGCAGAAUUCAGUGAAUCAUCGAAUCUUUGAACGCACAUUGCGCCCCUUGGUAUUCCGGGGGGCAUGCCUGUUCGAGCGUCAUUACAACCCUCAAGCUCUGCUUGGAAUUGGGCACCGUCCUCACUGCGGACGCGCCUCAAAGACCUCGGCGGUGGCUGUUCAGCCCUCAAGCGUAGUAGAAUACACCUCGCUUUGGAGCGGUUGGCGUCGCCCGCCGGACGAACCUUCUGAACUUUUCUCAAGGUUGACCUCGGAUCAGGUAGGGAUACCCGCUGAACUUAAGCAUAUCAAUAAGCGGAGGA
rnacentral:rRNA from 1 species